rnacentral:rRNA from 1 species
UACGUAGGGUGCGAGCGUUGUCCGGAAUUAUUGGGCGUAAAGAGCUCGUAGGCGGUUUGUCGCGUCGGCCGUGAAAACUUGGGGCUUAACCCCAAGCCUGCGGUCGAUACGGGCAGACUUGAGUUCGGCAGGGGAGACUGGAAUUCCUGGUGUAGCGGUGAAAUGCGCAGAUAUCUGGAGGAAUACCGGUGGCGAAGGCGGCAUCCUGGACCGGCAUUGACGCUGAGUGAGCGAAAGCUAGGGGAGCAAACGGG